AAAAAGAAAGGCAUAAGCAUCAAAGAUUCCAACAAUAUUCGUUCCAUUAUUCCCACUUCCAAAUUCUAAAUUCUCUCGUCUUCCCUUCGCCUUUUCAUCUCCUUCUUCUCUGCAUUUUCAAUUCCUUUAACUCUUCUCUUUCAACAACUAAUUUCCUCCCUUCCUUUUGUUUCUUGGGAUUGUAUUGUUCAUCUUUUAGCUGAGAGACGUGAUUAUAAUAUGGAGGAAUAGAUUAUGCUGGUGUUUGGUAAUGUAAUGAUCGGUCUGCUGGACUGCAACUAGGAGGAGCUUUUGUUGAGGUUUCUUUAAUAGCUCGCAGCAUUCGGUUGAUGUGAUGUGAUCAGUAGUUCCAAGGUCAUGUGAAAACAUGCUGUGGAAAACAGGUGAUCGUGAAGCAAGGAUAGCACGAUGGGCUCGAAUACUUCCAUCAGAAGCAUUAAUUAUGAUAUCGGUGUGGAUGCUUUCCUUCAGCAUUCGACCCAACGAAAUAAGAGCUCUUGAAUUUGACUGUUGUCGUGUCAAUCCAUCCACCCAGAUAGAGGAAGGUUCCCCACCCUGUCAGUAAUUUGACAACAUUGAGUUCAAAAAGGAGCUAAAUAGGAAAUGAGAAGAAUGAAAUUACCUGGAUGAGUCAAAGCCUUCCGAUCCCCUGCAAAGGAGACCACUCGGAUGAUGAAAGAUACAAUCGGAGGAUUAUCCCUUGUUAUGUUCGAUAUUUCUGGGAUCGGAUUUGCGGUAGGUACAGGAAGCAAGAUUUUCGAUCCUCCAUUGGGCAAGGCGGGAUGUAGUUUCUACCCUAUAAGCUGAUUCACUCAUCCUAGCAAACGCGAGGGCUGCUGUAAUUUCAUGGAUGCAACCGAAGAUACCAUCGAGGAAGUGCUCUCCGGAUUUUCCCAGUGGUGCCCAACACGCCAAGAUUUUGGGGAUGCUUUACGCCAUUGAUGUUGAAGGUUUGAUUUUGGGAAGAGGGUUUUGGAUUUUGGUUGAUAAAACGAUAUGGGUUUGUUCAAAAAUGUUUGUUGGCUUACACUGCACUUAAUUGGGUCGUGGGUGGUUGAUUCGUAUGCUUAAUGGAUCAUUCCAUUUAUUGGUGCUCC